UGUUACAAUCCCUUCUGAAUUACCUGAAAUAUGCAAAUAAACUUUUUAAAAUAGCUGUCAAAAAAAAGCAGCAACAUAUAACAAAGAUUUUUUUUCUCUUCCUCUCAAACAAACUAUAUCUCCAUCAUUCUUAUUAAUUUUACGUAUGUCAUUUUUUUUUUCUGUUACAGACAAAUAAUUCUAUGCACAAAUACCAUUUCCGGAUAAUUCUUUAUG